GGCGGAGGCGCGAGGGCCCGGAUGAGGCGGCGUGGCCGUCGGUACCGUUGGCCGCGGGGAGCCGGCGGGGCGGCGGGAGUGGCUCGCGCUCGUCCCUGGCGCCGCCAUUUUCUCCCCUCCUCUCCGCUGCCUUGCCGUCCUGCGCUGUGAGCGGCAGGCGGACAAGGGCGGCGAAAUGCCGAGCGCCUCCUGGCAGCCUGAAUUCAGAGAGCCUGUGAAGCAGGGGCGUGCUGCAGGAACAGCCAGCACGGUCCCGGUGAGGUUGUACCGUCGCUACAGCUCGUUACUGGUGCCACACUGUGAUUGAGGCUUCCUGGCCUGUGCUGCCGCGCUGCAGGUGUAAACAUGUAAAGAAAAGGUAUCCUACAGACUGGUGCUUGGACCAGAGAUUAAGAAGUAACGCAUGAGAUUACAGGGGACUCUAACAACUUAAUGACAGGCCAACUUGCAACACCCAACAAAAUAAAAUCCUAUAUGGAGAUUUCUUCACAUGCAUGUACUCCUACUGCAGGUCAUCUGGGUCAGAGAGCUGAACCAAGAUGAGCCUGCCUCUGUGUCAAAGUUGGUAAGGUUUAUAUGUGUGAACUGGAUGCAAAGCUAUUUUUCACAGUACCUAAAACAGAAAGGCAAAUGGACAAAGAAGACAUGAAAAUAAUGUUUAUCAUAAAAGCCUGCGAAAUCAGUCAAUCAUUCUUUUCUUGUCCCUGAGAAAGUAAAGAUGACAUAUCUUACAUCUUAUAAAGAAUCCUAAGGACCUACAGAAAAUUAAGGGCAAAAAAGGUUUUCCUUAAGGCUGUUAAGCCUUGUGGAUCCACAUGCCUCCACUGCAUGAUUUUAAAGCCUAUAUACAAGUCUCUGCUGAGCCCACUUUAAGAAAUGUGGUAUUGCCAUUUGGAUCAUCUAGGCAUGAAAUUUACUGUGCUUCAGGAGAAAUAUUUCUGCUUUGGAAGUGAUUUUGGCCUUCCUGAAGCCAGGAGGAGAACUGUUGGGAAUUGGCAUACAGGACGUGGACAUAAGCAACCAGGGGUUGGCCUUAGAAAUCUCAGGGCCUGAUGUAGCUGAGCAAACCAAGCUGCCAGAGUAACUGUGAGAAGCUCCCAUGGCAAUGAC